rnacentral:tRNA from 1 species
UGGCUCAGUGGUUAAGAGCACUGACUGUUCUUUCAGAGGACCUGGGUUCAAGUCCCAG